CGGGCGGCUGGGGUCCAGCGAGAGAAGAGGACGCUGGGGAGGGCCUUGGACCGCUUGGCUUUAGCUCUGAACCUUUUAGCCAAGGGGAGUUGGGGACAAGAGCUCGCAAAGGAGGUGGUGAGAGCACUGCUGGGGGCUUUGUUUCGGCCGCGGGUCUGCGGACACUGCACAAAAUGGAGCGGGGAUGGAGGUGAGCGGCGCUGCAUGCGUGGGUUGUCCAGGCUGCUAUUGGGUGGGAGAAGCUGGAGAAAGCAGAAUCCCCCUCCCCGCAGCUCAGAGAGCGCCCUCCCCUCGCCGAGCCGCAAAGGUCAAGUCCUCGGCAGGAUGGCCGCCUCCACGGUCAGGGCCGCCGGCGGACUCAGGAAGGCCCGGGACCCACACUUGGCCGGCUGCAAGCGGGUUCUGAUGGCCUGGACUCGCGGACUGGAGGUGAGGAUUCUUUCCUGGCUACUGAAAAGGAGUUCCCGCAGCCAGAUGUGGCCCAGGCUAUGUCCCCGUCGAGUCCUGGAAAAGCUGGUCCAGGACACUUCGGAGCCCGCGGAGGCCUAGCCCCGGCGAGAGGCAGCGCCUGCAAGCUCCGGAGAGCGAAUGUGGCUGGAUCAGAGUUCUGGGCUCGGGCAGAAACAGGGGACCCGUAGGGCCUGUGGGCCAGCAGAGCCAGGAAUAGGAUAGGGGAGCAAGGACCCUGCUGGGAACCUCUCUUAAGGUCCUCUAGUCCAGGUCUGCUCCUUGAAGUGCAUGCUGAUGCUUUGUGCACUUUGAUGCUCUUCUUCUCCUGCCUAAAAUCUGUGCCAAGAAGUGAGGUGCACUCUGCCAAAGUGAACAGGUGUUAAGCUGCCUAUCAAGUGACAGUCCUUUCGGCUCAUGCCCCUCAAAUGGCUGUGCUGCAGACAUCCCCAGCAUGACACCCCCCCCCCCCCCCCGUGAAAGAGCCUCACGUUGCCCUGGUGCGCACCGACUGCACCAAAGCUACCUGGCCCGGGCGCCGCCAGCAGGCACCCUUCGGCUGCAAAAAGAAGUGGAGGGAGGCGGCAGUGCUGGGCAGAGGCACCUGGACACAAUUUAUUCCAGUAUCCUGCCUGGGGAGGUGGGUGGAGUGUAGGACGCAGGAAUCAUCUGCACCAAGAUGCAUUCAGCCCCAGCAGGAGGAUCCGGGAGGUGCUGCCGAACCCCUCAACCCCCACCCCCCACCCCCCCCCCAUUUAAGACCAAAUCACACGGAGCCUUGCAAAGGCUCGGUCUGCUUUGCUGAGCAAAUCGCCUCCUUAGCCGUUUCCGCCUGACCACGCUGAUGCGGGGGCGCCAGCCUUCUCCUCUCCGGGUGGCCAUCUCCAAACGCGGCUUGGGGAACGAAAGGGCCCGGCCCUGCGAGGGCUGCCUAGACCUUGAAGUUUGGAAAAACAACAAGAAGAGAUUGAAACGGCUCCCUCCCUUCUCCGCAGACACACACGCACCGUCAGGCCGCCGCCACUUCCUGCCUUUGUUUUUCUUCCUCCAAAACAUUUUUGGCCUUUUGCAUUAGCUGCCGUGGGGCUCUGGGUUGAGGAUAAAAGGAAAUACAUACUGAAGAUUGCUUUCUGGAGAUGGCUCCGCUUUGUGGAGCUCCUGAGAAAGAACAGCUCGUGGGAAACCAGUCGGCAGGGGCCAAUGUCACAGCCUCAUCCACUCGAUCUCUUUAAGAAAUACAACUCGGACUUGGCAUUCCAGGUGGCCUUAGCACCCGUCAGGUCUUCCCCUGAGCAGGGUGGGCUCAGUUCGGGUGUAGGGCCUCCUGCAAAGCGGAAGAGUCAGUUAGGCUCAAAGCAAAGUCAAAACCAAGUACCUGCAGCUGUGCCUCCCCUGCUUGCCCAGAUUUGGUCUGAUGCUCCAGUCUGCGCCCACCCCCAACCAUUCCCUCCCACCCCCGCAAACAUUCACACUGCCAGUAUAUUCUGGGCAAGAGGGGCAGGAGCGGGCGAAGCUGGGAAAAGUCCGAAGCCUUGGGGAUCUGAGCACCCCCUCCUGUCGCUGCUGGGGAAGUAAAAACAUUCGCCACUCCACGCAUUUUCUCUUCUCCUGGCAUCAAAAGCGUUUCCCCUCAUCCAUUUUUGCUGCAGCACCCCAACAUACCCUCUUCAGGGCUGUGUGUCCCUCCCGGCACCCCGCAUCGGUACAGCCUUCUUGAAUUACCCCGCCAACUGCUUUGGGAGAGCCUUCCUCCAUCCCAGCCUCUUCUCGGAAAUUUGCCUUUGUCUCCUACAGAUACCCAUGGGAUCCAGACCUGCUGGCACCCUCUCGGCUUGGCUCUCGGGGACACGGGAGGCAUUGAUUACGCAGAACAGUGUAUAUCCCCAUACUGACCUUUCUGCCGGUACCCCGGCUCCCUGGCACUAAGGGGAAAGCCGAUCUAAUUAGGAGAGGGGCUGCGUGCAGCUGGGGGAGGUAGCCUGGCGUCCCGGCUGGCGGGCCACCGCAGCCGGUCUGCUCAGGCACAAGCUGAAGUUGACUGCCAAAACUGCUAUAAAACCCCAGGUCUGUCUAGAACUGUUUUCGGUUCUCCUAGACGCCCCCGGGUUCAAUUAUAGUCUUAAAAGCCCUAAUACAAGUGCAAGAAUUUGUUUGCCUUCACCCAGGGGCGGGGCAAGCCCUGAAAUGGUGGCGCCUUUGUUAUAGCAAAGUCACUGAAACCCCUCAAGCAUUCCUUUUGUUCGAGGGUCGGGGUGGCGGGGGACUGGGUGGGCUACUGGGAGAUAGUUUCAGAGGGCCAAAAUCAAGUCCGGGAACGGCUCAAACACUACUGUUCGCAAACCUCUCCUUCUCCCUUUUAUAUUCUGUCUCCAAGAAAGAGAUGCUGUGGAGAAAUAAAUAUUUUGCCUUGUUGGUCACUGCUGGAAAUCGAAGUUUUUUCGCUGCAGGGCAAUCCCGUAACUGCGAUUCCCAGCUUUAGGAGGUCUCAAGCUGCCUUUCCCCAAUAACCUUCCUUCCCACCAGACCUCACUCACACCACUGCUGCCCUCUGCACAGUGGACAAGCCACAGUGGACAAAUAUGUCAAGCUGAAGAUGCACAAAUAAUUUCAAGUUCAACUCUUAGGGAUUCAAGGGGUAUGAAAGUUCUUGCAGCAAAUCCUGAAUAAAGAGUUCAUUAAACCAA